UAUGACCUCUCUCUGCGCAGCCCAGCCUUUCCUACUACCUCCAUGAGGGGCCCUGGACAUGCUCCUUUUCCAGCCCCAUGAGGCAGCAGCAAGCCCAUAGGGCUGUGAGCGAGUGUCCAGUCCCCCAACCAGCCAGGCCUGCAGACGCAGGUCUAGGCAAGCAGAGGAAUCUCCCAAGAACAAGGCGCCCCCUCUCACUGGUGCCUGAAUUCCCAUGUUCACCCUGUGUGCUGAUCUGGGCUGGACCACUGGGGGCGUCCCUGCUGGGUUCCAAGGCCUCUCCUUGUGUCUAACAGCUCAGUCUUCACCCCAUCCAGCUGGGCCACUCAAUCAUUUGCCAGGAACUUCUCCAAGGAGCACAUCUCCAGAAUCCCCUCUUCCCUGGACCAGCCAGGAGGGUCCCACUGAGUGCAGAUGGCCUGAUGGUCCCAAGAUGGCUGCUGUUGCGAGAAGCCUCCCGCCAGCCUCAAUCCAAGAAAGGAAAGCAGAGCAAGCGAGCGGGAGCCCUUCCAGCAGAGCAAAACGUUUCUCAAAAAUUCCCGUGACUUCCACGUAAAUCUCU
rnacentral:lncRNA from 1 species